rnacentral:rRNA from 1 species
UACGUAGGUGGCAAGCGUUGUCCGGAUUUACUGGGCGUAAAGAGCGCGCAGGCGGUCGUUCAAGUCGCGUGUGAAAGCCCCCGGCUCAACUGGGGAGGGUCACGCGAUACUGGCGGCCUCGAGGGGGGUAGGGGCGUGCGGAACUGUGGGUGGAGCGGUGAAAUGCGUUAAUAUCCACAGGAACUCCGGUGGCGAAGGCGGCACGCUGGACCCCAUCUGACGCUGAGGCGCGAAAGCCAGGGGAGCGAACGGG